rnacentral:lncRNA from 1 species
UAUCAAUCCAAGAUCGAGUCUUUUCCCUCAAUUAAUCUCAAAUCUCUGCUGAAAGUUCUAUCUUUUGGCUAGAAAUUUGAUCUCGUUGCUAAAAAAACGUAUAAUUCUUCCAGGUCUCGGUGCUGGCGCCAAACGUGCCGGCGUUGUACGAGAUGCACUUCGGCGUACCGAUGAGCGGCGCCGUCCUCAACACCAUCAACCUCCGCCUCGACGCCCGCACCAUCUCCGUCCUCCUCCACCACAGCGGCUCCAAGCUCGUCUUCGUUGAUCCCCUGUCCCUCCCCCUCCUCCGCGACGCCCUCCGCCUCCUCCCUCACUCCCACCAACCCCCCCGAGUGGUCCCCAUCGAAGACCCCUACGAAGAGAACGCCAAUAGCUCCGAACUUUCCGCCGCUGGUGGCGGUCUCACCUAUGAGAAAUUGAUCGGGAUGGGCGACCCGGAGUUCAAGUGGGUCCGCCCCAAUAGCGAGUGGGACCCCAUGGUCCUCAACUACACGUCCGGCACCACCUCCGCCCCCAAAGGCGUCGUCCACUGCCACCGCGGCCUCUUCAUCAUCACCGUCGACAGCCUCAUCGACUGGUCCGUCCCCAAGCGCCCGGUCUAUCUCUGGACCCUCCCCAUGUUCCACGCCAACGGCUGGAGCUUCCCCUGGGGCAUCGCCGCCUCCGGCGGCACCAACGUCUGCCUCCGCCGCUUCGACUCCGCCACCAUCUACGCCGCCCUCGCCACCCACCGCGUGACCCACAUGUGCGGCGCACCCGUCGUCCUCAACAUGCUCGCCAACGCUCCGGACUCCGCGAGACAGCCGCUCCCCGACCGGGUCCAUAUCCUCACGGCCGGCGCUCCGCCGCCGGCGGCGGUGCUCCACCGUGCGGAGGCGCUCGGCUUCUCCAUCAGCCAUGGGUACGGGCUCACUGAGACGGCGGGGCUGGCGAUAUCCUGCGCGUGGAAGGGGGAGUGGGACCGACUGCCGGCGGCGGAGCGGGCCAGACUCAAGGCUCGCCAAGGUGUUCGAACUUUGGCCAUGGCCGAGAUCGACGUCAUCGACGGGUCCACCGGUGAAAGCGUCAAGCGGGACGGCGCCACCAUGGGCGAGAUAGUCCUCCGUGGCGGGUGCGUGAUGCUCGGCUAUCUAAAAGACGAGGAGGCGACGAGCCGGGCGGUGCGGCCGGACGGAUGGUUCUACACCGGGGACGUGGGGGUCAUGCAUGCAGACGGGUACGUGGAGAUCAAGGACAGAUCCAAGGACGUGAUCAUCAGCGGCGGCGAGAAUUUGAGCUCGGUGGAGGUGGAGUCGGUGUUGUACGGCCACCCGGCGGUGAAUGAAGCGGCAGUGGUGGCGCGGCCGGACGAAUACUGGGGGGAAACGCCGUGCGCGUUUGUUAGCAUAAAGGAAGGAGUACUGGCGGCCCCACCGACGGAGAAGGAGGUGAUUGGUUGGUGCCGGGAGAGGAUGCCGCACUACAUGGUGCCCAAAACGGUGGUGUUCAAGCCGGAAUUGCCCAAGACAUCAACGGGGAAGAUUCAGAAGUAUGUGCUGAGGAAGAUGGCUAGGGCCAUGGGAUCCCCUCGGCCAAGUCGUAUGUAGGGAGUCCGUCGGUUCGACGGCGAGCUGGGGCCCUGGGAUUGAUAUCUACGUUGUGGGGUUUUGGUGCAAUAAUCUAAUGGUGAACUCAUCAGUCAUCAAAAGCUUGUACCCUCAUGUACCAAAAAAAAAGCUUGUACCCUUAAAACAAUUUGAGAUGCAGAUCUGGGAUUUUUCUUGUGCGCGUGCGUUUGUGUGAUGAGGAGCGGCCCCUUUCGGGUAUGUAUGCUUGUAGAGGGACAAAAAAAAUAAAAACAAAUUAUAGCUUUAGAAAGUUGGUCAAUAAAAAUAUUUCAUUAAAAUUCCAUCCAUAUAAGGACCACUCAUUAAGUUUUCAAAUAUAAAAUAAUUCAUAAAAUUAUCUUGCCUAAGAAGUAUCAAAUAUAUAUAGGGGUGGAAUCGGGACCGGGCUACAUCGGGUCCCAUCCAAGUUUGAUCCGAAAAUUAUUUUUGAACUUCGGAUCUGAUUUAGGCGUGAUAAUUUAACAAAAACUUAGAUCCGAGUCCUGUUCGAAUUCAUUUGGGUCAGCCUGAGAUAUUACUUGAUCCCAGUGGGACCUGAAGCAGAGAAAAUAGAAACCGUGAGUCUGUAACAGCUACUCUUAUUUGGGAAAUCCACUGGCCAUUCAGCCCGUUCCUUUUUUUUUUAUUAAAAAAAAUAUAUAACUCCCGUCCAGUCGUUGGUACCAUUCAAACUUCAGAUAAGAAUCUUGGUCAGUUGGUCUAGAUGCACUGGUAAUAAGGACCACCCACCAUAUCUUUUGGGAAGGAAAAAAGAAUGGCAGCUUCUCGGAAGGGUACAGAUAGCACCAACAUGCAUCCCUUGUCUAUGACAACUUCUUUUAUAGGAUUAGGAAUUUAGGGUCACAGGAUGGUGCUAACCACAGCCCCAAGCCCCAAUAUUGGGUAUUUUGGCACCAUACUGAUAGGCAAAAAUUGAAAAGUGGAUGUCUUCAAAAUUUUAUAUAAAUUAAGUUACCAUGUGGAUGUGUCUUGCAGCAUCAUCAAUUUGUCAUAUUUUCUUCCUAUGCAAGUCUUGUUAUUUCCUUACAGAGAUAAAUUUAUUCCAACAUAAUGUAUCGAAAUCAUUUUGUCCAAGAAUAGAAAAUUUUAGUACCAAUUAAUGGCCCCUCUUUGGAAAAUUACGCACUUCUCGUUCUAGAAAAGGCGAUAACUUCGUAAGGUUACACGAGUUGCAAAUCUAUAAUGAAGAGCUAAUCAUAAUGUAUUUUUUGACCCCAAAACUGUGUUUUGACAGCACACAAGACAAAGGAAACCUGAGCUCAAUACUAAUGGAACGCGAAAUAAAAGACAAAAAAAACAAGUCUCCUUGAUUUCCAGUUUAGACAGACUGGGUCAUUAUAACUGAAAAACUUUAUGCAACUGAAUUAUUAUACAAAUAUUUAUUGCGGCAUCAACCAAUUUAACGUAUGCUUCUUAAAAAUGCUUCAUUCUUUCUUUCCAGAUAUAAACUUAGAGCUAUCACAGCAAACAUCUUUAACAUUUAGACUUUGGCUCAGGCCCGAAUUUCGAAUUAGGAUCGUGCUUGCAAUCGGAUCCGGGCCGGGCCAAUAAUAGUCUCGAACCACGUCCGAAAAUGAAAUAAACUUUAUAUCCAAGCCUAAAGCAAAUCUGAUUGUGUUUGAGCCUAGCUCAAGUCAGACCUGCAGUCAGAUCGGCCCGAGCUUAUUUUCAAUCUUAAAUAUAUAUUAGUUUAAAUAAUAUCUCUCAUGAGAAAGAACAGUUGGUUUACUUUUUUUUGGUAUUGACCGUUUGAUCUUACCUCAUAAAUAUCUCAAGGCACAAUGGACUCUUUUAUUUUUCUAUCUGCAAAGAUCCAAUGAUCCAAUGGUGGAUUCAUGCAAAAAAUAUCACCCUCGUCUACAUAUGAUUUGUAACAUAUAUAUACCUUCCAUGAGAGGUGGUUCAUCAAUCAUUGAGAUUCUAGGGAUCUAUUUGUAUAUAUUGCUAUGCUGUACAAAUGCAUAGAAACAUCUAUCUCGAAAGGGCUUUUGCAAGGUCCAAAAGUUGCUUGUGAUGUAAAUCUACCCAAAGUUUAUCCUCUUCAGUAUCAUCCUAUGGAAAGAUUAUCCAUAAUUCAUAUAAAACAUCAAAGAAUCAAAUGUUCAUAUAAAACUAAUAGCACUAUAAAAUUUUUUUAGAUUUUUAGCAAUAAAAAAUUUGAUCACAAAUUUAUCCAUUUUUAUUAAUAAAAAUUAUUAAUAAUUAAAAAUAUUUCAUCAUUAGGUGGUCACUAAAAGCAUCGUAACUAAAGAUUUUAGUGAUCAAAUAUAAAAUCAUCAGAAAAAAUUAUUAUAUUUAUUAACAAAAUAUAAAUGACCAUUAAAGAUAAAUAUUAGUGACGAUUAUAUUUAUAGUAAAAGAUUAAAAAAUGAUCAUUAAAGAGUUGAAAAAUGAUAAAUUGAUAAGAAAUUAAUGGUCAAAAAUAAAUUUUAACAAGAACUUAAUAUCAUCGCCAAAAUCUAUUUUGCAAUGAAUUUUUGUUGGUCACAAUAAGUUGAUACAAUUAGUGAUAAAAUAAAAAUGAUCAUUAAAGAUAAAUUUUUAUAAAAUUUUUUAUAAAAAAUAUUUAUUUUUUUAAUAAAUAAUUUAUUAAAAUAAAAUAUUUUUAUUAUAAAUUAGGAUUGUACGAACUUCAAAUAGGGAUUUUAUAAAAUACAAGUGAUUGAACCUAAGAUCAAUUAAAUAUUUACCUACUACUGAACCAUUAUGACAAUAACUUUUAAUAUAGAAUUAUGAUUUAUUAUACUUAUUUAAAAUUUUAUAUAUUAUAAAAUAUUCUAAUUCAUAUAUAUUAUGAUAUUUAAUUUUUAUAAAUAUUUGAUCCAUCAAAAAAUUCUUGUUAAAUAUAAAUCUAUAAUAAACUUUAUUAAAUUGAAUUCUAAUAUGACAUAUGAAUUUUAGUACUUAAAUAUAUUUAAAAAAUCUAUCAAGUAUCCAAUCAAAAUCAUAUAGUGUUAGUUACAUUUUAUCAUUCUCUAAUCUUACUUUAACUCUCACGAUGAUUGAUUUGACUUUAACAGCAUACUGAAUACAAAGUCAAGAUUUACAUCUUAUUUUAGUAAUUAACAUAUAUAUUAUUUAAAUAUUAUUAUAAUUAAUAUUUUUAGUGAUGAUAUCAUUUUUUCAUCAUUAAUAUGAAAGAUUUUAGUAAUAACAUAUAAAGAUUGAUACUAAAAACAUAAAUUAUUAAUGACCACUCUACACUUUUAUCAUUAAUAGUAUAUAUCUAUGGUAACUAUUUUAAAAUAUCAUCACAAAAUAUAUAUGCUUUAGUGAUGAAUUAUAAAAUCAUCAUUAGUAGAUUGAUCAAUAUUCAUUUUAAUGAAUAUUUUAUAAAUUCAACAUUAAAAGAUAUAUACAUAUGGUGAUCAUCUUAAAAUAUUAUUUCAAAAGAUACAAGUUUUCAUGAUAAAUUAUAAAAUUAUCACUAAUGAUUUGACUAACAUCGAUGUUGACAUCAAAAUUAUUAUAAUAUAAUAUUUUAUCACUAGAAAUAUAGAUUUUUAAUGACUACAUAAGUUUUCUAAUUAAAGAUAUAUAUCUAGAUGAUCAUUUUAAAAUAUCAUCACUAAAUAAAUAAAUUUAUACGAUGAAUUAUAAAAUUAUCACUAAUCAGUUAACCAAAAUAACUUUUGAUGUGAAAAUUAUUUUUCCAUCAUAAAAAACUUUAUUUAAUAAUAAUUUUUGACGAUAAAUUAAAAAAUAAUCAGAAUNNNNNNNNNNNNNNNNNNNNNNNNNNNNNNNNNNNNNNNNNNNNNNNNNNNNNNNNNNNNNNNNNNNNNNNNNNNNNNNNNNNNNNNNNNNNNNNNNNNNNNNNNNNNNNNNNNNNNNNNNNNNNUAUAUUUAUUAGAAUAAAUAAAAUAAAUACAAUAUAUAUAUAUAUAUAUAUAUAUAUAUAUAUAUAUUAUUAUAAAAUAUUAUUUUAUUAUUAAAAAUGUUAAUUAAAAUGAUUUGUGGAUAACUCUUCCACUUUCUUCGUAUGCUCUCCACAAUAUCUUCAAGGUGCCAUUGCUAGCAGCGGUGGACUGUGCAUCAGCCUCAACAGAGUGGACCACAAAUUUCACUUCUUUUUUUAGCCCUGCUGAUGCCUUGUCGCUAGGAGCAAAUCAUGUUAACCUACUGUGACAACUCAGGACAGAGUACGAAUUUCUUGGUCUCAUGUCCUGUUCAGUUCAAGAACAGAAAGGAAUGUACAGCGGCAGAUCUGCAAUACAAUGAUAAAAGAUACAAUCAGUAUGUACUUAUGGUUCAUCUCGUGCCGUUGGCCCCAUAAUCAAUACCUAUCCUUCAUUAGAUGCAUCUGGAGAUUACACAUGUUAUACACAGUAAAGCAAUCAUCACUUGAACAUGUAUUACAAUCAAGGAGCUCGAACAAAUCCCCCAUAGAAAUGAUCCCUUGACCAUCUUAAGCAGCGUACACGAGUUGAAGGCCCUCCAUGCAAUGCAUGUUAGAUGAUUCCUUUUCCCAUCCUAUAUUUGAGCUACGUUACGGGGCUGGCACCAUCCAUCAUGCGGUGAACGGUAGCACGAUGCAUCACGUGCACGGUAGAAGAUCCCCAUUUAUGUUCGGUUUGGACGGUUAGGUCCACCCAAAAUCCCUCUGUUCCCUCGGAAUCUCCCGCGGUGAUGUGGUAUCAAUCCAAGAUCGAGUCUUUUCCCUCAAUUGAUCUCAAAUCUCUGCUAAAAGUUCGAUCUUUUGGCUAGAAAUUUGAUCUCGUUGCCAAAAAAACAUAUAAUGUUUCCAGGUCUCGGUGCUGGCGCCCAACGUGCCGGCCAUGUACGAGAUGCACUUCGGCGUACCGAUGAGCGGCGCCGUCCACAACACCAUCAACCUCCGCCUCGACGCCCGCACCAU